rnacentral:misc_RNA from 1 species
GAUGAAGAACGUAGCGAAAUGCGACAAGUAAUGUGAAUUGCAGAUAUUCGUGAAUCAUCGAAUCUUUGAACGCACAUUGCGCCCUUUGGUAUUCCAAAGGGCAUGCCUGUUUGAGCGUCAUUUCUCCCUCAAACCCUCGGGUUUGGUGUUGAGCGAUACGCUGGGUUUGCUUGAAAGAAAGGCGGAGUAUAAACUAAUGGAUAGGUUUUUUCCACUCAUUGGUACAAACUCCAAAACUUCUUCCAAAUUCGACCUCAAAUCAGGUAGGACUACCCGCUGAACUUAAGCAUAUCAAUAAGCGGAGGA